rnacentral:rRNA from 1 species
GGCCCCUUCGGGGGUACACGAGCGGCGGACGGCUGAGUAACACGUAGGAACGUACCCCAAAGUGAGGGAUAAGCACCAGAAAUGGUGUCUAAUACCGCAUGUGGCCUUCGGGCUAAAGCUUUAUGCGCUUUGGGAGCGGCCUGCGCAUGAUUAGCUUGUUGGUGAGGUAAUAGCUCACCAAGGCGAUGAUCAUUAGCUGGUCUGAGAGGAUGAUCAGCCAGACUGGGACUGAGACACGGCCCAGACUCCUACGGGAGGCAGCAGUAGGGAAUUUUCCACAAUGGACGAAAGUCUGAUGGAGCAACGCCGCGUGCAGGAUGAAGGCUCUUGGGUCGUAAACUGCUUUUAUAUGUGACGAUUAUGACGGUAGCAUAUGAAUAAGGAUCGGCUAACUCCGUGCCAGCAGCCGCGGUCAUACGGAGGAUCCAAGCGUUAUCCGGAAUUACUGGGCGUAAAGAGUUGCGUAGGUGGCAUUGUAAGUUGGUAGUGAAAGCGUUCGGCUCAACCGAAUAAACAUUACCAAAACUGCAAAGCUAGAGGAUAGGAGAGGUUAUUGGAAUUCCCUGUGUAGGAGUGAAAUCCGUAGAUAUAGGGAGGAACACCGAUGGCGUAGGCAGAUAACUGGCCUAUUCCUGACACUAAGGCACGAAAGCGUGGGUAGCAAACGGGAUUAGAUACCCCGGUAGUCCACGCCGUAAACUAUGGAUGCUAGCUGUUAGAGGUAUCGACCCCUCUAGUAGCGAAGCUAACGCGUUAAGCAUCCCGCCUGUGGAGUACGGUCGCAAGACUAAAACAUAAAGGAAUUGACGGGGACCCGCACAAGCGGUGGAGCGUGUUGUUUAAUUCGAUGGUAAGCGAAGAACCUUACCCAGGCUUGACAUCCUUGGAAUUUCUGCGAAAGCAGAGAGUGCCUUUGGAACCAAGUGACAGGUGUUGCAUGGCCGUCGUCAGCUCGUGUCGUGAGAUGUUUGGUUAAGUCCAUCAACGAGCGCAACCCUUGUGAGUAGUUGAAUUUUUCUACUCAAACUGCCCUGGCAACAGGGAGGAAGGAGGGGAUGAUGUCAGGUCAGUAUUACCCUUACGUCUGGGGCUACAAACACGCUACAAUGGCCGGUACAAAGGGCAGCC